rnacentral:rRNA from 1 species
AUUGAACGCUGGCGGCAGGCCUAACACAUGCAAGUCGAACGGUAACAGGAAGAAGCUUGCUUCUUUGCUGACGAGUGGCGGACGGGUGAGUAAUGUCUGGGAAACUGCCUGAUGGAGGGGGAUAACUACUGGAAACGGUAGCUAAUACAGCAUAACGUCGCAAGACCAAAGAGGGGGAGCUUCGGGCCUCUUGCCAUCGGAUGUGCCCAGAUGGGAUUAGCUAGUAGGUGGGGUAACGGCUCACCUAGGCGACGAUCCCUAGCUGGUCUGAGGGGAUGACCAGCCACACUGGAACUGAGACACGGUCCAGACUCCUACGGGAGGCAGCAGUGGGGAAUAUUGCACAAUGGGCGCAAGCCUGAUGCAGCCAUGCCGCGUGUAUGAAGAAGGCCUUCGGGUUGUAAAGUACUUUCAGCGGGGAGGAAGGGAGUAAAGUUAAUACCUUUACUCAUUGACGUUACCCGCAGAAGAAGCACCGGCUAACUCCGUG